rnacentral:lncRNA from 1 species
AAAGGGUGGCUCAAAAUGGCCAGAGAGGUGUAUGUGCAUGUAAGCUCACGAUUGGUUGGAAUGGUCUGUGCUUUGCUAAUGGUUAUCACUUUCUGUGAAGAAAUUCUUAGCCAUUGAAAGGUUCAUUUUGGUUAUGAUGAUGACCAAAUUUGAUUCAUGCAUUGGGGCGGUGAGGAUAAUCAAAAGACUUUGUACACUGG